AGAGAGAGACAUGCGCGCAUAUCAAUAAGCGGAGGAAAAGAAACUAACAAGGAUUCCCUUAGUAACGGCGAGUGAAGCGGGAAGAGCUCAAAUUUGAAAUCUUCAAGGUUCUACCUUGACGAAUUGUAGUUUAAAGAAGUGUUUUCUGCUGAAGUUUUGGUAAAAGUUCUUUGGAAUAGGACAUCAUAGAGGGUGAGAAUCCCGUAUUUGACCAUUAUUUUCAGCUUUGUGAUACACUUUCAAAGAGUCGGAUUGUUUGGGAAUGCAGUCCAAAAUGGGUGGUAAAUUUCAUCUAAAGCUAAAUAUUGGCGAGAGACCGAUAGCGAACAAGUACCGUGAGGGAAAGAUGAAAAGAACUUUGAAAAGAGAGUUAAACAGUACAUGAAAUUGUCAAAAGGGAAGCGUUUGACACCAGUGUUGUUUUCUCGAAAAUCAAUUAAAAAUGGCUCGAUUUUGUAUUGUUGAGACCUUAAAAGCUCACUGUACAUUUUUCGUGUCUUUUUUAAUGCACUUUUCGUUUAACAAGUCAACAUCAGUUUCUUUUGUUGUAAAAGGGUCAUUGGAAGGUGGCUUUCUUUUCGGAGAAAGUGUUUAUAGCCUUUGGCCUCUGCAAUCGGAGAGACUGAGGUCUGCAGCGUAGACUCUUCGGGGCUAGAUACAUUUGUGCUAAGUUAUAGCCUUUUCAUAGACAACUUGUUGACUAUAAUCAGUCAUGUAGCUUACUCGCUUAUGCUAUUUUACCUACGCUUAGGAUGUUGAAGAUGUAGCACAUCAU
rnacentral:rRNA from 1 species